rnacentral:lncRNA from 1 species
AUGGGUCUCAGCAAAAGAUGCCUAACUCCUUCUGCAAUCCUCAAAUUACACGCAGAAAUUCAGGCCCAGACCCAGUGUUGUUAUUAUCUACUCUGCUCAGAAAAAAAAUGCACAGAGUUCACCUGUGUCCUCAGCUCUAGCAUCAUGACCCCCACCUGUCAGCAUGGCUACUGGAGCCUCAAUCUUAGGCCAGAUCCUACGGUCUCUCCUUCCCUACAUGCAACAUGUUGCCAUGAGACACUGUCAUGCUGCUUGCCUACAGUCUCCCUACUCUGGCUACAGAAUGGACCACACUUCAGACAAAUGGACUACAGCAGGCUCAGCCACAGUUUGGCAAAGCACCAACAACCCAGGAGAGCUGGGCAAAUGGCCAAACAAUUUCAGACUAUAAUGCUUAAUCUUCUCAUAGCAAUUUAGUGAGGCAUGGGUAUGAAUUAGUAUUAUCCUCCAAUGUGACAUAAGGUGCAAAGACCCCAGAAAUAAUAGUAAUAGUGGCAAAAAGAGGCUGGGAGCCAGAUUACAGAGACUGAACAAGCAGAGAGAUAAGGAAACAGGAAGGAAGCAAAGCUAAGAAGGAAAAAGUAGUGCUUAGGUCCAGCCAUAUGAACUCUGGUUCUCUGGCAGGACUUCUGUUAAAGAAGAGUAACUUUUAGGAAAAAAGCAAAACCCUAGUCCUGAAGAUGGUGAAGCCACGCAAGGGAUUCAGUCAGUAGCACAAAGAACAGGUAAGAGCUCAAUUAAAAAUGCUAAGAUUUAUGGUCAAAAGCCAGAUUGUAACUAAGCUAGCAGCGUUGUGUAUGGGUACAGAGGCCUUUCUAGUGCCCUCUCUGGGGGCCAGACUGGUCCGAUUCUGGAGUGUUGCUGAGACAGUUCGCGGGAGGUUGUGGCCCAACCGGAGAGAGUGAAGGAAAGGAAAAUGCAUAAUUAAUCUUAUGGCAGAGAAUCAAUCCUAAACAGAAAUCUCUCCUAGAAAUAAGAGCAGCACUUUGCAAGACGAAUGGAUAAGCUGCAUAGAUCAGUUGAAAGAUUAUCGUAAGAGUUUCUUCGUCAGUCACACAAGGAGGCCAGACCACAUCAGGAGCACCAAAAUCACCAGGAAAAAUAUUUUUCAAAUGCAUAUAUGCAGUAUGUCCCCAAAGACACAGAAUUAGCAGGUCUUGAGGGGGGCUACCUGAGAAUCUGUAUUUUAAAGUUCUCUACAGGAUUAGGAUGUAUUGGCAGGUUCAGAAAUCACUGGACUAGAAGAUUCCCAA